rnacentral:lncRNA from 1 species
UGUUUAUCAUGUGUCAUGUGAUUAGAGGCACCUGAAUCUAUAAUCCAGGUGACAGAGUUAAUUUAGUAAGUAAGCAAAGUUUGGAAUCAGAAAUAAGGUUCUUAGUUAACAUAGUACCAGCAAAGUUUGCAGCAUAUAUGGGAGGAGGAGUAUGAGCAGUGGAGUCCCUUAACUUGGUCUGGUGUAAUAAAUUCAUCAACUAGUCAUAAUCUUGUCU